rnacentral:rRNA from 1 species
CCUGGUGGCGAGUGGCGAACGGGUGAGUAAUAUAUCGGAACGUGCCCUGGAGUGGGGGAUAACGCAGCGAAAGUUGCGCUAAUACCGCAUACGAUCUAAGGAUGAAAGCGGGGGAUUCGCAAGAACCUCGUGCUCCUGGAGCGGCCGAUAUCUGAUUAGCUAGUUGGUGGGGUAAAGGCCUACCAAGGCAUCGAUCAGUAGCUGGUCUGAGAGGACGACCAGCCACACUGGAACUGAGACACGGUCCAGACUCCUACGGGAGGCAGCAGUGGGGAAUUUUGGACAAUGGGCGCAAGCCUGAUCCAGCAAUGCCGCGUGAGUGAAGAAGGCCUUCGGGUUGUAAAGCUCUUUUGUCAGGGAAGAAACGGGAGUUGCUAAUAUCGAUUCCUAAUGACGGUACCUGAAGAAUAAGCACCGGCUAACUACGUGCCAGCAGCCGCGGUAAUACGUAGGGUGCAAGCGUUAAUCGGAAUUACUGGGCGUAAAGCGUGCGCAGGCGGUUUUGUAAGUCUGUCGUGAAAUCCCCGGGCUCAACCUGGGAAUUGCGAUGGAGACUGCAAGGCUAGAAUCUGGCAGAGGGGGGUAGAAUUCCACGUGUAGCAGUGAAAUGCGUAGAGAUGUGGAGGAACACCGAUGGCGAAGGCAGCCCCCUGGGUCAAGAUUGACGCUCAUGCACGAAAGCGUGGGGAGCAAACAGGAUUAGAUACCCUGGUAGUCCACGCCCUAAACGAUGUCUACUAGUUGUCGGGUUUUAAUUAACUUGGUAACGCAGCUAACGCGUGAAGUAGACCGCCUGGGGAGUACGGUCGCAAGAUUAAAACUCAAAGGAAUUGACGGGGACCCGCACAAGCGGUGGAUGAUGUGGAUUAAUUCGAUGCAACGCGAAAAACCUUACCUACCCUUGACAU